UAUGAAAAGCUGUUACAAUCAGCAUAAUGACUCAUUUAAUAGCUCAAACAUAUCUGCUCAGAAAUCACUACGACUCAUGAAGUAUAAGGUUCUGUUCCAUUAGUUGUAGGAAUAGUGACUUGCAGGAAAAAAAUUCAUGUCAAAUAAAUGCUAUUAGCUAAGAGUAUCCAUGCUAUAAAUGAAGUUUUAAAUUUGGAAUUUGGAGACAAGUAAUGUCCUGUGCUCUAGGUUACAAACAGGCUUUGUUACACAAGCUUUACACUGCAUUUUUAAACUAAGUUUUAUGUGUUAAUAGCUAUAAAAUAUCCUCUGGUUAUCCAUAAGGUUAGUGAUUCAAGAGUAAAAAAGGUUUUUUUCAGAGUCAGUACUGAAACAGAGUGACACUGUUUUACUUGUAGGACACAAAACCCCAGGACUUGAUCAAGUUGGUUUCAUUUACAUGUAAUACAUCCUAGUUUAAUAUGUAUUUAAAUUUAAUAUGACAGAGAACCUGUCCAGAUUCUUCUGGAAUCUGAAGAGAAUUGAAAUGCAUUUGCUGCUUGUACUUGCUGGCUUGACAGCCAGCAUUUCAUUUCCUGGAAGAAUCUGCAAUCACGCUGUUCAAGGUCUGCUGAGAAUUGAGACUAAUUGUGGUGACAAGGCAUCAUCAGGUUUGGCACUUCCACGGCAACAAAGUUCUGCUCUUCUUUCCAGAGACCUUAAGACUUUAAAAUACCUUUUGGAAAAACCCACAGCUCUGCCUCAUGUUUGACUCCUCAAAGAAAGAAGUUUGGAAAGGAAGGAAAAUAAAAUUCACUCACGCCUUUACACAGCUAAUGUUGUUCAAAGAAAUUCAAAGGUGUACAGGUACAUGAGUGAGGAGAUACUGAAACACACUAAGAAACAAUUUAGGAGAUCCUAGGAACAUAUCCUGUUUUCCUUCCAAAUGGCAACAUCUUUCCAACAUUCAUACCAGGCACUGUCAAUGUACCUGAAGUUACCAGAAAUUUCUUGCAGAAUUCAGCUAGCAAGUAAUUGCAAAGGUCCUGGAAAAGGAUGAAGAGCAGAGGAGCACAAGCAGUACAAGUGCUUGUGUCAG